rfam:Oryza brachyantha chromosome 8, whole genome shotgun sequence.
AAUAAGAUCAUUUUUCGUUUUUCCGUGUCCAACGUUUGACCAUUCAUCUUAUUUGAAAAAAUUUUGCGAUUAAUAUUUUUGUUCUUACUAGAUGAUAAAACAUGAAUAAUACUUUAUGCGUGACUAAUUUUUUAAAUUUUUAUAUAAUUUUUUCAAAUAAGACAAAUGGUCAAACGUUGGAUACGGAAAAAUGAAAAAUGAUCUUAUU